rnacentral:lncRNA from 1 species
UUACAUUAUAUUUUGUGCUUAGCUGAAUAUUGUUGGGCUGGGGUUAUUGGGACUUUUGUUUCUGUGUUAAAUUCUGUGUACCGCUUUUGUUUUGGAUUAAUGGGUUAUUGGACUUAGAAUAGUAGGCCUAUUUUCGGCUUUUUGUAGUGGGCUUUUGUAUCGGCGUUCGUUUUUGAUUUUGUGAUUUUUUUCAUCGUGUUCCGCCUAACUUUUCUGUGUUUUUUUGGUCUGGUAUUGGUCUCGUGGGGUAGGUUCCCUGUUUUCGUAGGUGUGUGAUAGUGGGUUUGUUUGUAAAUUUAGGUUUUAUUAUCUAUUAAAUAUAUAGAACGUUAAUGGACCGUCGAUUGAAUAAUUAGAUUAAAAAUCCACCGUUUAGAGUGAAUGGGCCUACACAACUUAUAUAAAACAAAUCAAUGAUAUGUUUUUAUAAUAUUAAUAUUUUCUACCUUCCUAAGAUUAAAAUAAAAUAAAUAAAAAUAUUAUAAUAUUAAUAUGCUGUAAAAUAAAAUCCCAAAGUUUCUCUCCG